rnacentral:rRNA from 1 species
AUUGAACGCUGGCGGAAUGCUUUACACAUGCAAGUCGAACGGUAGAGGGGGGCAACCCCUCGAGAGUGGCGAAACGGGUGAGUAAUAUAUCGGAACGUGCCCAGUCGUGGGGGAUAACGUAGCGAAAGUUACGCUAAUACCGCAUACGAUCUAUGGAUGAAAGCGGGGGACCUUAGGGCCUCGCGCGAUUGGAGCGGCCGAUGUCAGAUUAGCUAGUUGGUGGGGUAAAGGCCCACCAAGGCGACGACGGGUAGCCGGCCUGAGAGGGUGACCGGCCACACUGGAACUGAGAUACGGUCCAGACUCCUACGGGAGGCAGCAGUGGGGAAUAUUGCACAAUGGGCGCAAGCCUGAUGCAGCAACGCCGCGUGAGGGAUGAAGGCCUUCGGGUUGUAAACCUCUUUUAGCAGGGAGAAGCGAAAGUGACGGUACCUGCAGAAAAAGCACCGGCGUAACUACGUGCCAGCA